CGACGCUCAAAUGGCUCCCACCCUCCCGCGCCGCCGCUCCUCUUCCGCCCGCGCCGUCGAUGGGAUCCACUCCUCCUCGCUUGGACAUGCCCGUCCCCGGCCUCCUCCGCCCCUUCCCCGUCCGCUGCGCCAUGGUCGACCUCCUGAAGUCCUCCGCUCCUUCCUCGUCCGCUGCGCCAUGGUCGACUUCCUGGAUUACCUCAAGUCCUCCUUGUCCUCCGGCGAGGUUCUGAUCGUGCAAAGCUUCUGGCUACCAAGGCAAAGGGCUUACCUCACAUCACCAUUUCUCUCCAUAGUGUUACUGGCGCUGCGAUGAGUGAUGCCAUAGCCGAGUUCUCGCUAUUGCUCUGUUCAGGCUCUAAUGGUGCAAAGCUUAUAGGACUGCACGGGAGCUUGCACCCAAAGAACAAGAACAAAUGUCAAACUGAUGGGGAGUCUGUCAACUGAAAGAGUAGGUCAUCUUAUCUCCUGUCAUAACCAAUACUUUUGAAUAUUGUUGCUCGUGUUGUUGCUGCUGCUGCUGCUUGUGAAUACAGUAGUGUAUAUGGGAUCAUGAGUGUCGCUCACUGAAUCUACAUAAUUUCUUGUUUUGUCGAAUAGUUUUCAAUAGAGUAUUUUAACAGCUUUCAUUCACUUUGUACAUGGCAUGUUUUUUGCACACUAAAACAUGAUCAGUGGGAGUUCACUGUGUACGAAUGCCUACAUCCAGUAAUCCAUUCUUUCUCUCAAAUGUGUUCAUGAAAGUCCCAAACGCGUCGGCGCAGCUGCCGAUGCCGGCCACCGCCGCCACACGUUGGUCCCCCACUCUGCCUCUAAUGCAGCUAACCCCGGAGCUGGCCGGAGUAAAAACGAUCUUCUUUUUCCCCUUAUCAUGUGAUCUUCUCUUGCAAUUCUUUCUUAUUCUUGUUGGGCUGGUUUAGUUGAGAAUGCAGUGCAGUGCUGAUACGAUAUUCCAUUGAUUCUUGCAUGUGUAGUUGACCCUUGUUCUCAGGAUAAAUGAGAGGAUGAUCCAGUGCUGAUACGAUUUUCAUUCAAUUUUCUAGUGCAGUAAUUUUGGGACGGAGGGAGUAUUAACAAACCAGACGUGAUUGGCUGCUGAAAAUUACAAAAUUUCCAUUCAAUUUUCUAGUGCAGUUUGACAGCAAAACCAGCUAAAUUUCCAGUGAGAUGAUGCAGUACUAUAUCACAUUUAGAAUAAUUUGCCGUGUCCAUUUUCCUUGAGAGGGUGAAACUAGAGAUGCUCCUAUUCCUUGUUAGAAGAAUGAAUUACUGUGUCAUAAUAAUUCACUGUCCCUGAACUGUUAGGCCAUGAUCGUCUACGAAACUAAAAAUCAAAGGCAUCAAUUCUUCCUUGGUACUAUGUCAUAAGAAUAAUCAAAUCAUGUCACUGUAAUGCAUCUUGGGUAAUGCAUCUAUCUAUUUCGAAAAAUGGUCACCAACCUAAAUGGUGUUCUGAAUUUCAGACCGUCCUUAAUCUAUGCCAUGGCAAGAGUCUAAGAGACAAGAUCAGUCCAGUUCUGCGCAUAGUGUUUUCUUAGAAAACCUCAAGACAAGUAAAAUUCUUCCAGGUUUGGUACUCUUAACGAGUUUCUUGGACUGUCCUGCCUCUGUAUCUAAGAAAAUGGCACAAUGAUGACAAAAUAUGUGCUAGCUCUCCGUGAAACCUUCCGUAUAGGACAACAAAAUGUCUUCAUCUGAAUUAUUGCAUUUGUCAUACUAACUAACCACCCUCCGACCAAACGGACAAGGCGAAUCAAAACGGCUUGUUGUCUACUAAUCGCUCCGUAUUAACUACGGUUAAUUACUUGAAACAUUGCUAGCCUCACCAGCGUUUAGUUAAAAAUAAGACUCGGCCCUUGUGGAAAUUGUGAUGAUCCGGUGCUGUAAAUCGCUUUGGUUGCAUCCUCCUUCAUUGCUGCAUUUACAAGGUAGGUAGUAGAAUUGUUUUUUGAUCCCUUCUUCGAGUGCCAGCCAAGAGCUUGGUUUUACAAUGAGAUGGAAGAAGUCAUGUUCAUCUGUCCAUCCUUCCCCUGAUCUUAACUUUUGCAAGGUAAGUACAAUAUUCUUUGCAUUGUCACCGUUUAGACACAUCUCUUAUCCUACUGGGACAGCAUGUUGUCUGGCAUUCUGUUUUCUCAAGUACAGUAGUAAUGGUUUUUGCUCUUCCUGCCAAACCUGACAUUCAAAAUGUUGUAUAAGUAGCUGAGCACAAAUCAUUACAUAAUUUUCUGCUGAAUUUCGUCAUAUGUAUUUGAUUCCUAAAUCAGUUACUAGAUGUUUGACGACCAUUAGUAGCAAAAAUUAUGGGGACGAAAUGGUGUGAUUCACUCUUGUCUUGUUCCUCCAAGAAUGGCUGGGAUGGUAAGUAAUGACUUGUCUUAUCUAAGAGUGAUUUGAGACUUGUACUGAAAGAAUGCGCUAAUGCAGAUUCACUGCGGCUGCUCUCUGUGAAUGAUAACCAGUUUGUAAGAUAUUUCAAAGACCAUCUUAACAUAUUUGUCGUAUUUAUGUUAAAUGAUAGUCACAUAUUGUCAGGUUUGUGGCAGUUUUGAUAGCACUUUCUUGUAUCUUGAGCAGUUCAGAAGCUUACAAGGCAAGUGCACGAAAUGUUGGGCGCGUAAUGGACGAUUUGGAACAUUGUCACCUACUGCCGGUGUGGGGCGCUGCCAGUCUCAUGCCGGAAUUGUGUGCCUGGGCCUGCCGCAGCCAUUUCAGCUGUGGCUGCUGCCAGGGACCUGUCACCGCAUAUUAUGUUGCCAUUGCCUCCUCUUUCAGCUGCCAAUUCUGUCACAUUUCAAUACUCCUAGUCGUGGAUCGUUUGCACUAAGACUAAAUGGUUAACUUGUCACUUAUUCACAUAUCGGUACAUCAUGUAUAUUUGUAUGUUAGAUGGAUCAUAUGAGUCUUUGUCAGUUUGAUCAGUCGCUUUUAUACUUCCACGCCUGUA